CACAUUCCUCGGGGAGGAAUCUACAGUAUCCAUGAGGUCACAAGUCUUUCACAAAUAAGGGCCAGAAGUUCUGACUCUUGACAUCUCACACGGCCACCUCGUGGACAACCCUCCUCGCCCAGGUCCAUCACUGCUUCAUGCUCUGGGAUGGGCAGAAUAGGGAAUCUAAGGGUCUCGGGCUCUGAGUGCUCUCAGCCCUCUGUUUCUGAGGGGACUAUCAGCCAACAUCCUCAGAUCAUGGACCUGGCCCUUACCAAAAGGACAGCAAGGGUCACCCUUGGAGAGCUCAGGUGGGAUAGGCAGAACCUUACCUUUCAGUGGCCCGCCUUUCCUCCUCCUCUUGGCUCUGCCCUGACCCUAGAACAAAAAUAAAAGAAUGAAGGGUUGGGACUCCUCUCGCUCUCACUCUUCCAUCAGAAAUGGAGACACUAUCAUCCAAGAAUAGUAGGGAUAAUUUUAAUUAAUAGAACUGUGUGUUCCUUGCAAAGGUGAUAAAAAGUUUUCUAUUUACCCUGGAUAAUUGAAAGGACGACUUUGUGAGGCCCACAGCUGAUAUUCUCAGUCAGAAGUCCUUCGAUCAAGGAGGACAUAGAACCUGAAGCCUGAACUCACAUCUGUGUUCCCUCAGGGCAGGACCCUGUGUCCUAUGACAUAGCUCUGACUUCAGUCUGUUCGCAGACACUCAACACUGUGCUCCAGAUCGCCCAACACAAAGGAAGACUUGGUCGACUAAUGCCUGAUAUGGGAAUGUGACUCAUGGUCAGGAGCUACAGAGCUUUCUUCUGUCAUAUGGAUUCCCAUACUCUCUAAAUAACACAAUGUAGGAUGAGAGAAUCCCUGAGUGUGGGAUUUUAUUGAAGACUCGCCACCACAUCAGAUAGCCUGGAACCAAGAAAUAGACCCUGAAGUCUUGUACGUGUUCCACAGCAACAUGAGUGGUAUUUUACCCAAGACCUGCCAAUGCUUCAGUUAGCUUGAGUGAUCGUCCAUUCUUUCUUUACACUUCCCAAUCGAGUUGUGUCAUUGGCCGUACCAAACCCUCUGGGAAAUUGAGAUUAGCAAUGGAAACCCUAAGAGUCUGGGUUGAAGGCUCCCCAGGAUUCCUUACCUUGUGGAUGGGUUUGGUUCUCCAACAAAGAAAUGGAAUCCCAACCAGAUACUUCAGGAGCAGAAGGAGCACUUCUCGCACACAGACGAACGUGAAAUGAUCAAUCUGUAAGAAUGUGGAGCCAAAGCUUAGACAUCUGUCUUCUCUACAUUAGUUCCCUAAUAGUUAUACA